rnacentral:rRNA from 1 species
GAUGAACGCUGGCGGCGUGCCUAAUACAUGCCAGUCGAGCGAACGGACGAGAAGCUUGCUUCUCUGAUGUUAGCGGCGGACGGGUGAGUAACACGUGGAUAACCUACCUAUAAGACUGGGAUAACUUCGGGAAACCGGAGCUAAUACCGGAUAAUAUUUUGAACCGCAUGGUUCAAAAGUGAAAGACGGUCUUGCUGUCACUUAUAGAUGGAUCCGCGCUGCAUUAGCUAGUUGGUAAGGUAACGGCUUACCAAGGCAACGAUGCAUAGCCGACCUGAGAGGGUGAUCGGCCACACUGGAACUGAGACACGGUCCAGACUCCUACGGGAGGCAGCAGCAGGGAAUCUUCCGCAAUGGGCGAAAGCCUGACGGAGCAACGCCGCGUGAGUGAUGAAGGUCUUCGGAUCGUAAAACUCUGUUAUUAGGGAAGAACAUAUGUGUAAGUAACUGUGCACAUCUUGACGGUACCUAAUCAGAAAGCCACGGCUAACUACGU